AUUUAAGCAGCUACACCUAAAACUAUAUCUUAAUCCAACAUCGAGGUCGCAAUCUUUUUUAUCGAUAAGAACUCUCCAAAAAAAUUACGCUGUUAUCCCUAAAGUAACUUAUUUUUUUAAUCGUUAUUAACGGAUCAAUUAUUCAUAAAUUAAUGAUUUAUAAAAUUAAAAGUUCAUUAAAUUUUAAUAUCACCCCAAUAAAAUAUAAUCAAUUAUUAUAAUAAAAAAAAUCUACAAAAUUUUAAUAAUCUAAAUAUAAAGAUUUAUAGGGUCUUCUCGUCUUUUAAUAUUAUUUUAGCUUUUUGACUAAAAAAUAAAAUUCUAAUAUAAAUUUUUAUGAAACAGUUAAUAUCUCGUCCAACCAUUCAUACCAGCCUUCAAUUAAAAGACUAAUGAUUAUGCUACCUUUGCACAGUUAGUAUACUGCGGCCAUUUAAAAUUAUUCAGUGGGCAGGCUAGACUUUUAAAAUAAUUCAAAAAGACAUGUUUUU
rnacentral:rRNA from 1 species